rnacentral:piRNA from 2 species
UUUCACAGAUGGGGGAAACUGAGGCCCAAA